GACCCCUUGGAUGGAUUUUGGGGGCACUUGGACAUUUGGGACACCCCAGAUGUGUUUUGGGGGCAGCCUGAGACCCCUUGGAUGGAAUUUGGGGGCACUUGGACAUUUGGGACCCCCCAGGUGUGUUUUGGGGGCAGCCUGAGACCCCCUGGAUGGAUUUUGGGGGACACUUGGACAUUUGGGACACCCCAGAUAUGAGUUUUGGGGGCAGCCUGAGACCCCUUGGAUGGAUUUUGGGGGCACUUGGAGACUUGGGACCCCCGAAUAUGUUUGGGGGGGGACAGUUUGAAGCCCUGGGACCCCUUGGAUGGAUUUUGGGGGCACUUGGACAUUUGGGACACCCCAGAUGUGUUUUGGGGGCAGCCUGGGACCCCUUGGAUGGAUUUUGG